UGGCUCUGGAGAACGCCCAAAAGUGGGCUGCCGAAGGUGCAACGCAGGACUCUGCGAAAUCUCUCAGGCAAAAGGACAGAGUGGGAA
rnacentral:ncRNA from 1 species